GGCGGGAGCGGAGCUCCGGCGGGGCCUCACCGGGACCGGCAGCGCGACCGGGACCGGCCUCGGCCUCUCCCGGCGGGGCCAGCGGGAAGCCCUGCGUCCCUCAGGCGCAGGAAACCGGUGCUGGUUGUGGCGGCGCCAGAGCUGCGCCUCCCCCCGCCAUGUUGUGGCGAGGCUCCCUGAGGGCCGGUGCCGCUCCCCGCCGGGCCCGGCGCGGAGCGGCUGCGGCGGGAGGACGCGAGCGAGCCUGGCAGUGGACCAAAAAAAUGAAGUGACCAGGAUGGUGUGACUUCAGAAAUGAAGGGUGAUCCUUCAGAAAAAGGCUGCCCAAGCAAGCUUCAGCCUCCUUUCUAACUAGGCAGCUCUGAGCUGAGGCAGACCUGGAGGAGCCCAGCCCGGGUGAGCUGCAGUGCUGGGAGAUGCCAGCCCCAGCCCGGAUAAUGCCUUGAGCUGCAGAAUGUCUGACAAAUGUGGCAACUGAGAACUGGCUGGCAGCAUCCACGUCUGAUGGUUUGGAGAUUCCUAAAACUUGAUCAUCUGUGUUUUCUCUACAUAGUUAAGAAGGAUUUAAAUUAAAAUAAAAAAAAAAAAAAACCUAAAUAAAGAUGCCACCUACAAGACUGAAA